rnacentral:tRNA from 1 species
GGGGAUAUAGGCUAACCUGGUAGACUAGCGGGCUCCAGACCCGCCUAUGGGGGUUCAAAUCCCUCUGUCCCCA